rnacentral:rRNA from 1 species
AGAGUUUGAUCCUGGCUCAGGGUGAACGCUGGCGGCGUGUCUAAGGCAUGCAAGUCGAACGAUCCACUUCGGUGGAGAGUGGCAAACGGGUGAGUAACACAUUGGAAACCUACCUCUGACUCGGGGACAACCACUUGAAAAGGUGGCUAAUACCCGAUGGUCUCCGCCUUCAUAUGGAUGGCGGAGUAAAGUUCCGGCGGUCAGAGAGGGUCCUAUGGUCUAUCAGCUUGUUGGUAGGGUAAUGGCCUACCAAGGCUACGACGGAUAGCGGGUGUGAGAGCAUGACCCGCCUCACUGGGACUGAGACACUGCCCAGACUCCUACGGGAGGCUGCAGUCAAGAAUCUUCCGCAAUGCGCGAAAGCGUGACGGAGCGACGCCGCGUGAUCGAUGAAGCCCUUCGGGGUGUAAAGGUCUUUUCUCAAGGAGGAACGUUGACAGUACUUGAGGAAUAAGGGGCUGCCAAACUCGUGCCAGCAGCAGCGGUAAUACGAGUGCCCCGAGCGUUACCCGGAUUUACUGGGCGUAAACGGUCCGCAGGCGGUUUGGAUAGUCUUCGGUCAAAUCUUCAGGCUCAACCUGGAGACUGCUGGAGAAACUUCCUCACUAGAGGCUGGGAGAGGCAAGCGGAAUUGCCGGUGUAGCAGUCAAAUGCGAUAAUAUCGGUAGGAACACCAAUAGCGAAGGCAGCUUGCUGGAACAGUCCUGACGCUCAUGGACGAAAGCGUGGGUAGCGAAUGGGAUUAGAUACCCCAGUAGUCCACGCCCUAAACGAUGGAUACUAGAUUUUGGGAGUUUCGACCCUCUCAGAGUCGGCAAACCAAGCUAACGCCUUAAGUAUCCCGCCUGGGGAGUACGGCCGCAAGGCUAAAACUCAAAGGAAUUGACGGGAACCCGCACAAGCGGUGGAGCAUGUGGUUUAAUUCGAUAUUAAGCGAGGAACCUCACCAAGGCUUGACAUCCCGGGAAUCCUGCAGAAAUGCGGGAGUGCCUUACGGAACCCGGUGACAGGUGCUGCAUGGUUGUCGUCAGCUCGUGUCGUGAGACGUAUGGUUAAGUCCCAUAACGAGCGCAACCCCUAUCCUGCGUUACAAUUUCACAGGAAACUGCCCCGUAUAACGGGGAGGAAGGCGGGGACGACGUCAAAUCAGCAUGGCCCUUACGCCUUGGGCGACACACGUGCUACAAUGGCCGGAACAAAGGGUUGCCAAACCGCGAGGUGGAGCUAAUCCCAUAAAUCCGGCCCCAGUUCGGAUUGGGGUCUGCAACUCGACUCCAUGAAGUCGGAAUCGCUAGUAAUCGUGAAUCAGCCUCAUCACGGUGAAUACGUUCUCGGGUUUUGUACACACCGCCCGUCACAUCAAGAAAGUCGGCAAUGCCCGAACCUGGCGGUUGUCAGGGAAGGCAGGGCCGAUGAUAGGGAUGAAGUCGUAACAAGGCA